GAUAAACGCUGGCGGCGUGCUUAACACAUGCAAGUCGAACGAAGUUUUUCCUUCGGGAGAAACUUAGUGGCGGACGGGUGAGUAACGCGUGGGUAACCUGCCCUGUACAGGGGGACAACAGCUGGAAACGGCUGCUAAUACCGCAUAAGCACUUAGCACUGCAUGGUGCAUAGGGAAAAGGAGCAAUCCGGUACAGGAUGGACCCGCGUCUGAUUAGCCAGUUGGCAGGGUAACGGCCUACCAAAGCGACGAUCAGUAGCCGACCUGAGAGGAUGUACGGCCACAUUGGGACUGAGACACGGCCCAGACUCCUACGGGAGGCAGCAGUGGGGAAUAUUGCACAAUGGAGGAAACUCUGAUGCAGCGACGCCGCGUGAGUGAAGAAGUAUUUCGGUAUGUAAAGCUCUAUCAGCAGGGAAGAAAAUGACGGUACCUGACUAAGAAGCACCGGCUAAAUACGUG
rnacentral:rRNA from 1 species